rnacentral:rRNA from 1 species
UGAAACCGUUCUGGGGUAAACGGGUGGAGCUCUAAAGGUCGAACGGGGAGAUUCAGUAUCCGUUUCGCUCCGAGACGCUUGGCGUGCCGGUGAAAGGGCCUCAGCGGGUCAAACCGCUAUGGUCGCCGGCCGUCUCGUUGUUUCUCGGGCGACGGAGCGCACUUCUCCCCUAGUAGGACGCCGCGACCCGUUGGAAUUUGAAAGAGCGGGCCUACGGCCCGGUGGCGAGCCCGUGGCUCUUGGUUUCGGCCUCGAGCCGCGGAGCCCCGGUGUCCCGGUCCGCUUCCGACGGUCGUCGUUAACGGAGCUGUCCCGCGCACUUUGUGUGCGCUCGUGCCUCGCGCGAGCGUCUUGCCCGCUAGUCGCGCGCGGACUUCGGUCCGCCGCGAUCGGGUGGGCGUUGUCGGCGUGGGGAUUUCUCGAGCAGGGACUUUGUCUUCCGGUCUGCGGCGCUUAAAACAGGGCGGCCCACCCGACCCGUCUUGAAACACGGACCAAGGAGUCUAACAUGUACGCGAGUCAUUGGGCACCACUAAACCCAAGGGCGCAUUGAACGAAAAGGCGGGCUUAAUUGCCCGCCGAGGGGAGAUGGGGCGGCGCUCGCGUCGCCCCCGCACCCCCGGGGCGUCUCACCCUACCCGGGCUCGUCUCGGGAAGGAGAGGCGCACCAAGAGCGUACACGUUGGGACCCGGAAGAUGGUGAACUAUGCCUGGCCAGGACGAAGUCAGGGGAAACCCUGAUGGAGGUCCGUAGCGAUUCUGACGUGC